AGCGAGACUGCCGGUAAUAAACCGGAGGAAGGUGGGGAUGACGUCAAAUCAUCAUGCCCCUUAUGACCUGGGCUACACACGUGCUACAAUGGCUGGUACAACGAGUCGCAAGCCGGUGACGGCAAGCUAAUCUCUUAAAGCCAGUCUCAGUUCGGAUUGUAGGCUGCAACUCGCCUACAUGAAGUCGGAAUCGCUAGUAAUCGCGGAUCAGCACGCCGCGGUGAAUACGUUCCCGGGCCUUGUACACACCGCCCGUCACACCACGAGAGUUUGUAACACCCGAAGUCGGUGAGGUAACCGUAAGGAGCCAGCCGCCUAAGGUGGGAUAGAUGAUUGGGGUGAAGUCGUAACAAGGUAGCCGUAUCGGAAGGUGCGGCUGGAUCACCUCCUUUCUAAGGA
rnacentral:rRNA from 1 species